rnacentral:lncRNA from 1 species
CCACAGCGGACCUUGUGAUCAUCAGAUACUUUCCCUCUGAGCCCCAAAGUGGUUUUAGCAUCCUUCCCAACACAAGCAACCCUGUCCGUUCAUCGAAGUGGCCUAAUUUGCCUUUGUAGCCCUACGCAACUUAAGGAGAAAAUAAUGAAUGUCAAAGGAAAAGUGAUUCUGUCAAUGCUGGUUGUGUCAACUGUAGUUGUUGUGUUUUGGGAAUAUAUCAACAGGUAAUUAUGAAACACGAUGAAAUGAUGUUGAUGAAAGUUAAUCUAGUAUUAACCAAGUCA